ACAUAGGCAGUUAAAAUCAUUUUGGUGACUAGCUGUUUGCCCCACCUGUGGUGCCGGUGGGGCGAAAGUGGGCCUCUGGUGAGUAGUGAGUGGUGCAGAUGGGCAAGGAGUCGGUCCUUAAAAAGUAGAGAGGGGCACCUGAUGAAAGGAAGACGCCCCCUGCGGUGCAGUUGGUGGAUCCUGGGGUGUUGGGGUGGAUCCCCUCCUAGGACGACCUUUGCCUCUCUUCAUCCCCUUUCCUUGUCUACCUACAUCACAAUAGCCUUCGUCAGUCACUCGACCUAAAAUGUGCCUACAAUCUACCACAUAAUUUAACCCUAGAAACUUGUUCUAAUACCAACUGUAU
rnacentral:lncRNA from 1 species